rnacentral:snRNA from 1 species
AAACAAACGGGGCGAAAGGAAAGGAAAGAAAAANGAAGGUGGUUUUCCCAGGGCGAGGCUUAUCCAUUGCACUCCGGAUGUGCUGACCCCUGCGAUUUCCCCAAAUGCGGGAAACUCGACUGCAUAAUUUGUGGUAGUGGGGGACUGCGUUCGCGCUCUCCCCUG